rnacentral:rRNA from 1 species
UACGAGGGGCGCAAACGUUAUUCGGAAUUACUGGGCUUAAAGAGUUCGUAGGCGGCGCAGAAAGUAGGGUGUGAAAGCCCUCGGCUUAACCGAGGAAUUGCGCUCUAAACUACUGUGCUUGAGGGACCUAGAGGUGAGCGGAACUGAUGGUGGAGCGGUGAAAUGCGUUGAUAUCAUCAGGAACACCGGAGGCGAAGGCGGCUCACUGGGGGUCUUCUGACGCUGAGGAACGAAAGCCAGGGGAGCGAACGGG